AGGAGAGAAGGAAACAUCCGAGCAGAAAACCUAAGGACCGAGUUCAAGGUGUUUGUAAUGGCUCAGGAAUGGAACUCAGUUGCCAAAUCAUAAGAUAUUGGAAACGGUACUUGAUAAGCUUCAGAAUUGUUUGUGUGUUGUGGCAGGAAGGACACUUAUGGAGUUUUUGCAGAGCUUGUUGAUCAGGAAGAGCUCCUUGAUUAUCAUGAUGUUAUUGAGCAUCCAAUGGUUUUUGGACAGUAAGGAAGAAGCUUGCCUUAUAACUCAUAGCUCCCCACCCUGGGAUUGAGGAAUUGCUUUACAGUCCAGUAGAAAACUCACUGCACAAGUGAGCAAGAAAACUAUUAUUAAUUCAUCGGAUGUUUUGUUAUUCAUUUCAUUCAACUUCUACCUAUUUUGUUAAAUUGUGUUCUUAAAG